UACGUAGGGUGCGAGCGUUGUCCGGAAUUACUGGGCGUAAAGAGCUCGUAGGUGGUUUGUCGCGUUGUUCGUGAAAACUCACAACUCAAUUGUGGGCGUGCGGGCGAUACGGGCAGACUGGAGUACUGCAGGGGAGACUGGAAUUCCUGGUGUAGCGGUGGAAUGCGCAGAUAUCAGGAGGAACACCGGUGGCGAAGGCGGCUCUCUGGGCCUUACCUGACGCUGAGGAGCGAAAGCGUGGGUAGCGAACAGG
rnacentral:rRNA from 1 species